rnacentral:misc_RNA from 1 species
AAUUUCUCAAUGAGAAUCGAACACGCCUCGUUUCGCAAGCGCGCUACAAACCCCGACUCUAGGGUAAGCUGAACGCUGAGUUCAGUUUGGAUCGGCUAUUUUGACGCGAAAGUUCUUGCUUGUUGUCGCUUCGAUUGCCGAUUCCUGGAGAAGACUCAAAAAACUGAUCUCCUUGAACUUUGCUCUUCAUCGAGAGACCGAAAAAUGACGAGCCAAGCCGACCAUCAGAAGAGAUUGAAUCUCGAAAGGGCCACGAACUUCAUGAGACAAUAUCGAGAUCCCAAUUCACGGGAAUUGAAGAAACUCUCUGCGAACCAAUUUAUGGAGGUUUGGAGCCAUUACGACAAAGACGGAAAUGGAUACAUCGAAGGAACCGAACUGGAUGGGUUUUUGAGGGAGUUUGUUUCCAGCGCCAAUGCAACCGACAUUGGCCCAGAGGCUGUAUCGGACGAUAUGCUGAUUGAGCUGAAGGCCUGCUUCAUGGAGGCCUACGAUGACAAUCAGGAUGGGAAAAUUGAUAUUCGCGAGCUGGCUCAAUUGUUGCCGAUGGAGGAGAACUUUUUGCUACUAUUCCGCUUCGACAAUCCGCUAGAGUCCAGCGUCGAAUUCAUGAAGAUUUGGAGGGAGUACGAUACGGAUGGAAGCGGAUACAUCGAGGCAGACGAAUUAAAGAACUUCCUCCGCGAUCUGCUGAAGGAGGCGAAGAAAAUAAAUGACGUCUCCGAGGACAAACUCAUUGAAUACACAGACACGAUGCUACAAGUUUUUGACGCUAAUAAGGAUGGGCGCCUGCAGCUUUCGGAGAUGGCAAAAUUACUUCCAGUCAAAGAGAAUUUCCUAUGCAGACAAGUGUUCAAGGUACAAAUUACACCAAAUGACUACCUCCUGUUUGGCUGUAUCUAUCUUCUAUCUGCACUAAAAGCACUGUUAAGUUCAAUAUCUAUAGUAAAAGUUGAUUUUUCUUCAGCUGGGCCUAUACGAUUGCAAAUAUUUUUUUAAACUGUGUUCUUAGAUUUGCAAUUGUAUUGACCUGCAAAUUUAAACAAUCCUAUUUAAAGCUAGUAUCUAACCUAGCUGCACGGCUUUAUCUGUCUGUCUGUGUGCCGAUACUUUUAGGAAGGAAUUGAAGGCGCCACGAAGUUAACCAAAGACGACAUUGAGAGAGUGUUUGCAUUAUAUGAUCGAG